AAUGAACGUUGGCGGCGUGAAUUAGGCAUGCAAGUCGAGCGCUCAUCAGCAAUGGUGGGAGCGGCGAACGGCGUAGUAAGGCGUAGGAACGUGCCCUCUGGACGGGGAUAGCUGCGGGAAACUGCAGGUAAUACCCGAUGAUCUCUGCGGAGCAAAGGUGUGAUUCCGCCGGAGGAGCGGCUUACGUGAUAUUAGCUUGUUGGUGGGGUAAUGGCUUACCAAGGCGAUGAUGUCUAGGGGGUGUGAGAGCAUGGCCCCCACGACCGGAACUGAGAUACUGUCCGGACACCUACGGGUGGCUGCAGUCGAGAAUCUUCCGCAAUGGACGAAAGUCUGACGGAGCGACGCCGCGUGCGGGAUGAAGGCCCUUGGGUUGUAAACCGCUGUCAGGGGGGAUGAAAUCUCCGAAGGUUCUCCUUCGGAGUUGACAGAGCCCCAAAGGAAGCACGGGCUAAGUACGUGCCAGCAGCCGCCGCGGUA
rnacentral:rRNA from 1 species